rnacentral:lncRNA from 1 species
CAAUCAUUCACUCCAAUCAGCCUCCUCCUCCACCUACACCACCACUAACACCACCAUCACCACACGCCACCGCCGCUGCCGCCACCAUGCAACCCUCUCAACCUCCUUCUCUCAUUGAAAAUUACUUGCGAGACGACGUCAAGUCGCCAGAAUGCGAAGACUUGCUCUCCUCUCUCCCUUCGGAAGAGGGCUGGGUCCAAACCUCUCUCCGCUUGUAUCGGGGCUUCUGGUUCCUCUCUUGGCUCUUGAACAGCGUCUUUGCUUGCCAAAACCAAUUCCAAGUUCACCCCUCUGACAUCCUCCUUGUCACCAGCCCGAAAUGUGGCACCACCUGGCUAAAGGCCAUCCUCUUUGCUCUCUUGAACCAUGCCGAGUACUCUGACUCCAACCCACAACAACGCCACCCUCUCCUAACACAAACCCCCCCACGAUCUUGUGCCCUACUUGGAGCUCGGGCUCUAUCUCCUGAAUAAAAACCCCGAUCUCACUGCUUUUACGUCCCCAAGGCUCUUGGCCACCCACUUGCCUUAUUCCUUGCUUCCGCGAUCGGUGAGGCAUUCCAAUUGCAAGCUGGUUUACUUGUGUAGGAACCCUAAAGACACUUUCAUCUCGAUGUGGCACUACUUCAACAAGUUCAGGCCCGAAGAGAAGGGCCAACUUCCACUCCUAGAGGGCCUCGACAAGUUCUGCGGAGGCAUUAGCGUGUACGGGCCUUACUGGGACCAUGUGCUGGGUUACCACAAGGCGAGCUCGGAGAUGCCCGAGAAGGUUUUGUUUGUGAAGUAUGAGGAGAUGAAAGCGGACACGAGCGUUCAAGUGAGGAGGUUGGCCGAUUUCAACGGGCGUCCAUUCAACGAAGAAGAAUUGAGAAACGGGACCGUGGAGGGAAUACUGAGGAUGUGUAGCUUUGACAAUUUAAGUGCAUCGGAGGUGAAUAGGAGCGGCAAGUUGCCUACUGGAGUAGAGAACAAGAGGCUCUUCAGGAAAGGCGAGGUUGGAGAUUGGGUGAAUUACAUGAGCGCUGAGAUGGGAGAGAGAAUUGACGGUGUCAUGGAAGAAAAGUUGCAUGGUUCUGGUUUGAAGUUUUAGGACAUAUGACCCACUCGAAGAUGUUUGGUUUGAUGGUGGAAAAGAAAAAUGUGUGUAAAAAAGAAGAAAAAAGAAGCAAAAACGAUUCGACUCUCCGCACUUUAGGGGGUCAAUGUCUGGUUGGCCAAUGCAAGCGUGUUUCUCAUGCUAUAGGAUGAAAGAUCUUCAGUGGCUUCGUCUGUGUUGUGUACUAUUGGCGUUUGGCAGAAGUUAUUUGGCCAGUACGUAGCUGGCUAAACAAGAGCUGCCUAGCUGCUCCCUGGGAGCUUGUGGAUGUAUCUUCUGUUAUUUAUUUCAAUUCCAUUUUUCUUUUUCUCUUGGCUGUGUGAAGAUUCGUGGCAUACGAUAUUAAAUACAAAGCAGUUAUUUGGUAGGUUAAGCUACAAAUUAUAUUUGUAAGAUGGAAAAUAAAUUUGUUAUUAAGCUUAUCGGUUUAAUUUGUCGGUUUUCAAAGUCAUAAACUAAAACCAAACGAAUAACCAAAGAAAAAAAAAAUCCUAAACCAAAAUUAAAAUCCUAAAGUGCUAAACUGAGCUUAUCAAUUUUGUUCGGCUCAUGUUGAUCGUUUUUGUUUUUUUUUCUGUUUUUCGUGAACAAUAGAUCCUUGCCGAAGCUGGCCAUGGUUGGGCUGUGGCCAUACCCAUGCGGUUUAUUCUAUUUUCUUUUUUUUUUUUUUAACUUUCUUUCAUUUUAUUUUUUAAGAAUUCAUUAAUUUUCAUUUGUUCCUCUUGUUUUUGGCUCUUUUAAGUGUUUUGAUAAACCGGCUUGUAGUUUGGUUGACCCCCUUUUUAUAAUGUGUUAAUGAGAAUCAAAAAUUAAUUUUGUCAUGCCCUUUAAUUUACUUUGCCAAUUGCUUGCCAAGUGAUGUCUUUAGCUUCCGCGGCUUUAAUCUUGUCCUCUUUUUGCUGAUCGCGUGUUAACGGCCUAGCCAAGCCCACGUUCUUUCGAUGCUAGACUUCAGCCUACCAUCAAUUUUUCCUUCCAUAGAUUGUGCGCAUGAAGGAAUCGAACCAAAUGAAAAGAAGGCAAACGGUGAUAGAAAACGAGGAAAUGAGGAAACGGAGAAGAGAGAGACAAAGCUUGCGUGCGCAUCUCACAGGAACCACGCUAAGCCAGGUUAGCAUCAUUUUGUAAUGCCCAAUAAUUAAUCGAACUCGUUAUUCAUCUAAUCAAAAUAAUUUUGGGAAUUAGGCCGCAAAUUUGAAGUUUAAGUGAAUUUUGAACUGUGAUUAAGGAAUUAUUAAGUUAUGGAUUUAUAUGGAAAUGGUCGACAAUGUUGUGAGCCCACCACAAUCAAUGAGUUUGAAAGAGGGGCCCAAGAUUUGACAUGUGCUCUCAUAUCAUAGAGCAAUACCAAAUCAUAAAAUUUAAAACAUUAAAUGAAAGGAGACUACCAGUAUACAAAAUAUAUCAUAACUAUAAUUUAAGUGAUUUAGAACGAUACUUAAUAGUUUGAAUGGAUGAGACACCAAAUAAUUAUACUAGUGGAGGUAAAGGAUCUCAUUCCAUUUUGGGGUAUCUUCACACAAUAAAUGUUGACACCUAAAUUUUGGUUACCCGUUUAGUCAUUUAUCGCAUUAAGAAAUUAUGGAUUAAUUUUAACCCAUAAAAAAUAUUAAUUAAUUAACUGCAUAGUAUUUAGUUGUAGGUGCAUUUAUUUUUUAUUUGCAUUUUAUUGGACCGGUGGUGAAUGGGUUUAAAUUUAUGUUUAUGAGCUCUAGUUUGGCAGGCCGGUCUAGGCCCACGAAAGGAGCAAAUUAGCCAAAGCCCGUUAUUUUUUAAAUUAAUUAUCUCGUGGGAAAUUGAGAUUUUUUGCGAUAUUAUGGUGAUUUUUAGAAUCAGGUUGUAAUCUUAUCUUUAGUCUUUAGGUGAUAAGAUCGUUGGGAAUAUUAAGGAGAUAAGGAAAAUAAGAGGAUUUUGGGUGAUCGGGAGGUUAUAGAUUAUUUUCGUGUAUAUUGAAAAAAGCGAGAUAAAAUAUCUAUAAAAGCAAUCGUGGACUUACCUAUAAAAGCAAUCGUGGACGGCAAGAGAAGGGGGCUUUUCGAGGUUUCUCUUCGUUGAAAGAGGAAUUAUUCUCGGUUUUCAAAGUAAAAAAAUAACACAAAAGAGAAAGGAAAAAAGCAAGGAAGAGCCGUGCGUGGAGAAAGGGGAAAAGCAAAAAGCAAAAGGAGGAACAGUGUGGGGACAGUGACUGUUCACUGUCUCCUUCCCUUCGCUGCUCACGAUCGUGCACCACCGGUCGGAGGUCCACACCGCCGGGCGACCCGGAGCCUCACGCCGCACCACCGUGCCCACACCGCCGCCACUCCGUUGUGGUCCUCCUUCGACGAGUCUUCACCGCCGUUCCGCCAGUCUCGCCACGACAUCCGGCCCCGCCGUCGUCGCACGCAGCUGCUCCCUUGCCGGUUCGUCUCCCUUGCGCGACCCACUGCCGAGAUCUGCCGUCCUGCCCCACCGCACCUCCGUCUGCGAACACCCUAGCAGACGACCCGACGUUACUCUGUUCUGCCCGUUCGAAGUUGCUGUCGGUGAUGCUACUUCUGCUCUGGUUCUGCUCAUGCCCCAGUAGAUCUCGAGACGGUUCCUCCCUGUUCUGUUCGUGAGUCGCCUGAAGCCACUUUGCUCCGAUGCCCAGCGAGUACCGUGCCACCACACCGACCCGCGAAACGCCCUGCCGUCUGCUGCCGGAGUCCCCGCAACGGAGCUCUGACACCGCGAGCCCAUCUCGUCUGCAACCCGAGCCAGAUUGGUAGCCCUACCGCGCACCACUUCCGAUCCGACGCUGUUCUGCCCGAGUCCGAUUGACCCGAGCCAGAUCUGCCCGACGCUAGUGCCCAGCGCCCGAAGCCAGCAGCCCGCGUCCGACGACCGUGCUCCUGCUUCCGCCGAUGCCGCGCCUCUACCUGCCAGUCUGCUUGCCACCGAUCCCCCUCGCCGGAGCUCCGACCGCGACGCCCUCUGACGAUCGAGAUUCGCUGCCCGGUGACCAGCCACACGAGCAAGCCCACUUUUGCGGAAAGAAAAAAAGAAAAAGAGAAAAAGAAAAAAAUCAGAUUAGGUAGUUUUUCUUUUAUGUUUUGUUUUGUUUUUUUAUCAUUUUUAUUAUUAUGUCUUUAAUAUUCUGUUUUAGUGGAAUUGUUCCUUAAAAUAUUAUUGAUAUCCCAAUAUGAAAUAGUCCCUCAAGCUAGGGAUUGACAGUCCGAUUUUUGCGCCCGAAAUCUGACUCGCAAUCCUUUACAAAAAUCGACAAUUCAAUCUUAAGCCCGAGAUUCGAUUCGCGAUUUAAUUUUAAAAUUGGUCAACCCGAUCUCAUGCACGAGAUAUGGUUCGCCAAUUUUUGGAUAUCAAUAUUGUCUUGCUUGAUUAGAUGUCGUGUGUUUGGAUCAAUUUUAUUUUCAUAAGAGGAAAAAAAAAUUGAAUUAGGGUUAAGUUUGUUUUAGAAUAUUCCUAGUCUAAGGUUUAAAAUCGCAAUCUUAUUUCGAAUUUUUAAAUAAGAAAAUAAAAAAAAUCUGAAUAAGGAUUAGGUUUGUUUUUAUUAUCCUGCAUAUUUAGGAUUGCAAUCUUAUUUCGAAUUUUUAAAUUAAAAAUCUAAAAAAGAAAGUGCAUUCAUUUAGGUUGUUAGUUUUUUUAUUCGAAUUGCAUGUUUAAUUAUGUGAAGUUUUAAUUUCGAAUUUCUUAAAGAAAAAACACAAAAAAAAAAAAAUCAUUGUGCAUAUUAGAUUAGAAUUGCAUGUUUCAUUUUAAAUUUAGAUAAUCUUUUUUAGAUAAAUUGCAUUUUUGAUUUAGAUAAUGUCUUAGUUUAAAUUAGGAUUUAAUAUGACUUAAUCCCCUAGUUUAAAUUAGAUAGAAUCUUAAUCUAGCUAGAUCAUUUCAAAUUUCAUAAAAUUUGUCUUAUGAUAAAUUAGUUGCAAUUUUUAGGAUAGAUUGCAUUUUAAAAAUAAAAAAUGUCAUUUGCACGUCAUACAGAAUUAGGUUAAUGAAAUGCACGUUAUUUUAGUGAUUAUUGUUAGGUUCAUUUCUAAUUAGAAAUUGUCCGUCAUUAGAUUAUGUCAUUUAAUAAAUGUUGCGUGACAUAUAGCUCGCAUAUUAAAUUAUAUGUCAAAUGUCAUUUUAGUUAAAAUAAUCUUGUACGUCAUUGCAUUGCAUCACACGUCAUUAGAAUUAAGUCAUUUUGGUUAAUUUAGAUUGCAUAUUUAAUUAUUGCAUGUUCAUUAAGAAAUCACAAAAUUUUUUAUUCAUUCAUAUAGUUUAGAACAUAUUGCCAUGUCAUAUCAUUUCAUAUUAGAUUAAAAGCAUUGCAUUGCAUAUGGAUUAUAUUUUUGUUGAAAAAUAGAAAACAACAAUUGAGUAAUUGCUUGUUAAUUAAAAAUGAUGUGGAUUUUAAUUUAACACUGCAGAUGCUUUCGUUGCUUUGAGGUAAGUCUUGCAUUAUUUAAUUGCUUUCUUGGGUGUUAAAUUGGUGGUUUGCGCACCUGCAUGAACACCUCACAUGUUAGGGAAAUAGAUUUAAAAUCAAUCCAAAUUGCUUACCAAACAUUUUUCAAAAUAAAAAGAAAGGUACCAAAAGGGCGUUAGAGAAAUCUAACGUAAUCAAGUCCCCGUACCCUUAGUCUUUGGUUCGUAGGAGUAAAGUAAAUCUCCGGUUACUUUACUAGGGUUUCUAAUUGACCUACCAAAAAUAGAUUAGUGGCGACUCCUAGUUAAAAUUCAAUUGCAUGUUAACAAUUCAAACCUAAGUCGCGAAUUGGUAUGGGCUUGGGAGAACCUGAGUUAAGUCUAGGCUUAACAGUCCAUUAGCCAAACCGUAGGUGGUUCACACCCCGAAAAAAGUUGGUCGCGACAAUAAAAUUGCCCUCUAACUUUACAGAAUCCUGCCAUUUUUAUUCAAUUACAGAAAUUAAUUGAAGUGGCCCAAUAGCAUCAUGGUGAGAGGAUCCAAUUCAAAGACACGUAGUCAAUAGCUCACUAUGUAGUGAAAAGAGUGACAUAUGGACUUCCGCAUAAUUUUUUUUAAUAAAAAUUGCCAUAAUUAUCUAUAUCUGCACCAGCCUUCCUAACUAGCUAUGUCACAUAAGAUGGUUGAUAUUCAUGUUAGUAAUUACCAGCCAAAAUUAGUUGAAAUGACUAUAUGGACAAAACAUUGAAUGAUUUAAGAUUAAAUUGGUUAAAUUGAAAAGUUUAGGACUGAAUUAAACCGUAUAAUAGGUUUAUGACUUUUUAAAUAAUUAUCCAUAAUUUUUUAUGAUGAUUGAUAAUGCUUCCUCCUGACAGAGUGAAGUACCACUUACUUUUGAACAGCCAAAAAAUGGAUGAUGCUUACAUAUACAAACAUCAUUACGCUAUAGCUAUAAAUGACUAAAAAAAAUGCAAAUAUGUUCCCUUACAUUAGAUGUACACCAAAUGAACUCAAAAUUGCAUAUCUAACUAAAGAGACAUAUUUUCCUCUAUUCUUGCUAAAGCCAAUCUCAAAGUAGAGGAUUAGACAACCCCCUUGCAUAUUUAACUAUAAAUAAAAUGUGCGCCAUGUCAAACUAUGAUUGGAUGCUCUAACUAGGGUAGCUAAAAAUUUUCUAUGAUGUUAAUUGUUCAUAGGUUAAGAAACAAUGGAAUAUGUAACUGGUUUGUAAUACCAAUUCUUAGAAAAACUCAGAAUAAGUCGUCAGAGUAGAGAAUAAAAGUGAAAAUCAUUUUUUUUUAAAAAGCCGUAUGAAAGCAUCAAAUAAUGCUGGGAAUAUUUAUUUAUUUGGGUUUUUUUUUUUUUAAAGAUAUCCCUCUACACAGGGAAAAUUGGCAAAUUGAUGUUUAUAUUGUUGAAAGACUUGGCCUUGUGCUUGGUGACUUAUCAUGUAUAUCAUUGACUUCAUUUUAAAACACCAGUUCAUAUUUGGUGUUGUAUACAAUACUGGAUUGAUAUUAUAAAAUUUCAUCCACGCUACCCCAGAUACGAGCCAACCAACGAAUAUUUCAAUAGGUUUGCUUUGCUUAGUCGAAAAUAGAGUUAAGUGGGCUACCUUUUAAUUAUUAUUAAAGGAUGAACUGGAACCUUCGAAUGUACUGUUCAGAGUUGACAUGAUACGGAUGCUACUUGUAUAGAAAUUAUAAUUUGCAUUUCGCAAGAUGACAAAGCAUAUUUUGCGUAUGAUAAGUUACUUUAUCCCUGUUGAAGAUGACGUUCACUUGGUAUACUAGUCAUCCCGGAAUUCGAUACAGAAUGCAAAAUGCAGCCGGAGAGAAUCCUUGAUACUUUGGGCGUUCAUCACAGUUUUGAUACUUUGGGAAUUGUUUUAUUGUCUGGGGAUUUUAUAUUUGCUUCCGCAUGCGUAUGAAAAUUAAUGGGUCGGUGAUGCGUCCUGGGACGUUGUUAUUUAAUCGACUAGUGAGGGAUGGGUGCGCGCUCGAGGAUCGGGGCGUGACAUAGAGAGACACUUAAGUGUCAAAAGUUAGGAACGUGACAAUUACGUGCCAAAAUCGAAGCAAAAUGGAUCAUUUAAGAACCAAUAUGGUCAAAAUGUUGACGUGGCAAUUUUCCGGUGAAAUAAGUGCAAAACGGUGUCAUUUUGCAUGCUGAUGUGGCUAGAUAAUGCAAAAACGUCGUUUUGUCUUUGACAUGGUAAAAAAUUAAUAUAAAAAUUCAUUAAAUUAAAUUUAAAACUAAAUUUAUUUAAAACAUUUAAGAAUAAAAAUAAAAGUAAGAAAAAAAUGGGGGGAGGGAGGCGACUGAGGUGCUGAGCCCUCACCGCCACCACCAAGAAGGGUCGGCAAUGGAGGGGGGAGGGUCGGCCGGGGUUGUUGGCCCCCGGCUGACCGGCGAUCUCUCGCCCAGAUCCGGUGAGGGCUCACGGGCCCUCGCCGCUGAUUGGCCGGGGGUUGGCGACCUCGGUUGAUCCUCCCCCCUCCGUCAUCGGCCCUUCCCGGCGACAACGGGGAGACGGUGACCCUGGCCGACCCUCCUCCCUCUGUCGCCGGCCCUUCUCGGCGGUGGCGGGGAGGCGACGGGGGUGAGGGCUCAGCCCUCAAUCGUCUCCCUCCCCUCCCCCUCCUUUAUUUUUAUUUUUACAUGUUUUAAAUAAAUUUAGUUUUUAAUUUAAUUUAAUGAAUUUUAUAUUAAUUUUUUAGUACGUUAGAAAUAAAAACGACAUCGUUUUUGCAUUUUCUAGCCACAUCAGCGUGUUUUGCAUUUACCUCGUUGGAAAAUUGCCAUGUUAGCAUUUUGGCCGGAUUAACACUUAAGUGAUCCAUUUUGCUUCGAUUUUGGCACUUAAGUGUCGCUUUCCUAAUUUUUGGCACUUCAGUAUCCCUUCAUGCUAAGUUUUGGCACUCCAGGUGUUCGGCACUCAUUUUUUAACUGAACAUCGUUCGUGAAGGUCCAUAGGUGUAGAGAGCAAAGCUCAAGCCAUGUGUUCUUGUUUUCUUCAACUAGUUAAUUGAUAACCUUCUACCAUGUCUUUAUUCUUAUAAAAGAAAAUACUUUUAAUACCUUAGCUAAGAUUUCAAGCAAAGUUUAGAGUUCCGAGGCAUUGGCGUGUAUUAUAUGUAUCCUGUUUCUCGAUAUACUUCCAUAAGAUUCCACGAAAGAUUUCCUAGGUUUUCUCGUGCUUGGGUUUUAACGUUACCCGUGAAAAUCUUGUUCAACCACACUCUUGGUAGCAACGACAUGGAGAAGAUACAUUUUGAGACGAAAGACAAGGAAUUCCGAUUUUUUUGGCCCGCCGACCGCUGUCUUUAACUUCUCGGUCAAGUGGCACAAUUUGCUAGAUUUCGUUGAUCAAAAACAAUUUUGAGUUGUUUAAGUGGACACAUCCACUUCUAAUGCUCAAUUUUUUGGGCAAAUAUCACAAAAAAAAAUCCCAUACUAUUCGCACUGUGGCACAAAUAUCGAAAAGUUUUUUAAUAUAUAUUACAAACAAAAUUAUAAACUUGCUCACUGUGGUACAAAUACCUCUUACUUUUUUUCGUGUCAUGAACAAAUCCAAAUUUAUACACAUGUGACAUAAUUAUUCUCUAUUUUAGUUCUAUUCAGAGUAUAUUUGUCACAAUUGGCAAGUUUAGGAUUUCUACUAAUAAAAAAAAAAAUUGUGUCAUAGUUGGUAUAAUUUGAGUUUUUUGAGGUAUUAACCCUUAUUUUUUAUUUUUUUAUAAGUAAUGCUUUAUGUUCUUUUUUGAGCAUGGGUUUUUUAGUCAAUCGCGUGAACGAGAUGCGUGUGUUUUUAUUUAUUAAUAUGACUGAAAAGUAUAUUUGAUCACGGAUGCCACGAGAAAGUGUGCGUAUCCACUCUAGCAUUAUUAAUCCUUGUUAGUUGAUAUAUAGCCUUAAUUAUGUAAUGAAAAUCGUGAACCAGGUGUGGGGUAGUGAGAGUAUUUUGUGUUAUAGAUAGAGUUGUUAGGAUUUGGUUUUAUACACCUGAUCCAGUGCCUCGUCUAAUAGAGUAAAUAAAAGUUCCACGUUAAACGUGCAUUUGAACACAGCCAAAAAAUAGAUGAUGAGUACACAUAAGUAUCUUUACGCUAUCACUAUAAAUGAGUAAAGAAUUCGACAUGUGGGCAUGAGGUUUCACGCUCUUGACCUCGUCACUAUCGUGUGCUAAAUGUCCACCAAAUGGUUCAUUGACUUGAUACUACCCACCUAACUAAAGCGACAUAUCUUUCUCCAUCCUUACUAGAGCCAGACCUCCAUUAGAGGAUUGCAAAUAAGGAUAGAACCUAUUUGUAAAUUUAACUAAGUUGAAAUUUUUGUGAUGUCAAAUUAUAAUUGGAUCUUCUAAUUAGGGACGGAGGAAAUAAUAUGGCCCUUAACUAAUGAUUUUUAUUUUUUGACCAAAAAAAAAGCUAAACAAUUUUUGUUCAUGUGCAUGUUCAAAGUUCAAAGAAAAAGAAGAAGAUUUAAUUGGAUCAAUAUACCAAUUUUCACUAAUAAAUAAAAAAUUCAGAAGAAGCCGUUCAGGUGGAGCCUAAAAGUGAUUUUUUUUUUUCCUACCAUGAGGGCCAUCUCUAUUUAAUGUAUAAAUUGUAAGAGACACCCAACACCAUCUUCAUGUUCUUUAUUUAGACACCCAAUCAUUCACUCCAACCAUCCUCCUCCUCCACCUACACCACCACUACCACCACUAACACCACCAUCUCCAUUUAAUGUAUAAAUUGUAAGAGACACCCAGCACCAUCUUCAUGUUCUUUAUUUAGACACCCAAUCAUUCACUCCAACCGGCCUCCUCCUCCACCUACACCACCACUACCACCACCAUCACCACGCACCGCGGCCACGGCCGCCACCAUGCAACCCUCUCAACCUCCUCCUCUCAAUGAAAAUUACUUGCGAGACGACGUCAAGUCGCCAGAAUGCGAAGACUUGCUCUCCUCUCUCCCUUCGGAAGAGGACUGGAUCCCCACCUCUCUCUCUUCGGAAGAGGACUGUAGCCCCUCCUCUCUCCACUUGUACCAGGGCUUCUGGUUCCCCUCUGGGCUCUUGAACAGCGUCGUUGCUUGCCAAAAUCACUUCCAAGCUCACCCUUCCGACAUCCUCCUCGUCACCAGCCCGAAAUGUGGCACCACCUGGCUAAAGGCCAUCCUCUUUGCUCUCUCGAACCGUGCCGAGUACUCUGACUCCAACCCACAACAACGCCACCCUCUCCUAACACAAAACCCCCACGACCUCGUGCCCUUCUUGGAGUUAAGCUUCAAUCUCCAGAAUAAAAAUCCUGAUCUCACUACUUUUACAUCCCCGAGGCUCUUGGCCACCCACUUGCCUUAUUCCUCUCUUCCACGGUCGGUGAGGGACUCCAAUUGCAAGCUGGUUUACUUAUGUAGGAACCCUAAAGACACUUUCAUCUCGAUGUGGCACCACAUCAACAAGUUGAGGCCCGAAGAGAAGGGCCAACUUCCACUCCCAGAGGGCCUCGACAAGUUCUGUCGAGGCAUGAGCUGGUGUGGGCCUUAUUGGGACCAUGUGCUGGGUUACCACAAGGCGAGCUCCGAGAUGCCUGAGAAGGUGUUGUUCAUGAAGUAUGAGGAGAUGAAAGCGGACCCGAGCGUUCAAGUGAGGAGGUUGGCCGAUUUCAUGGGGCGUCCAUUCAGCGAAGAAGAACUGAGAAACGGGACCGUCGAGGGAAUAUUGAGGAUGUGUAGCUUUGACAAUUUGAGUGCAUUGGAGGUGAAUAGGAGCGGCAAGUUGCUAAUUGGACUAGAGAAGAAGUGGUUCUUCAGGAAAGGCGAGGUUGGAGAUUGGGUGAAUUACAUGAGCGCUGAAAUGGGAGAGCGAAUUGACGGUGUCAUGGAAGAAAAGUUGCAUGGUUCUGGUUUGAAGUUUUAGGACAUAUGACCCACUCGAAGAUAUUUGGUUUGAUGGUGGAAAAGAAAAAUGCGUAAAAAAAGAAGAAAAAAGAAGCAAAAACGAUUCGAUUGUCCGCACUUUAGGGGGUCAAUGUCUGGUUGGCCAAUGCAAGCGUGUUUCUCAUGCUAUAGGAUGAAAGAUCUUCAGUGGCAUUGUCAGUCCUGGCUUCGUCUCCAUAGUGAGAUGCUUUAAGGUUGUGAUUCUAGUCUUCAUCUGUGUUGUGUACUAUUGGCGUUUGGCAGAAGUUAUUUGGCCAGUACGUAGCUGGCUAAACAAGAGCUGCCUAGCUGCUCCCUGGGAGCUUGUGGAUGUAUCUUCUGUUAUUUAUUUCAAUUCCAUUUUUCUUUUUCUCUUGGCUGUGUGAAGAUUCGUGGCAUACGGUAUUUAAAUACAAAGCAGUUAUUUGGUAGGUUAAGCUACAAAUUAUAUUUGUUAGAUGGAAAAUAAAUUUGUUAUUAAGCUUAUCGGUUUAAAUUGUCUGUUUUGGAAGUCAUAAACUAAAACCAAACGAAAAGCCAAAGAAAAAAAAAUCCUAAACCAAAAUUAAAACACUAAACUGCUAAACUGAGCUUAUCAAUUUUGUUCGGCUCGGUCGAUCGUUUUUUCUUCAUGAACAAUCCUACCAGCAUAGAUCCUUGCCGAAGCUGGCUAUGGUUGGGCUGUGGUCAUACCCAUGCGGUUUAUUCUAUUUUUUUUUUUUAUUUUUUUUAACUUUCUUUCAUUUUAUUUUUUAAGAAUUCAUUAAUUUUCAUUUGUUCCUCUUGUUUAUGUCUCUUUUAAGUGUUUUGAUAAACCGGCUUGUAGUUUGGUUGACCCCCUUUUUAUAAUGUGUUAAUGAGAAUCAAAAAUUAAUUUUGUCAUGCCCUUUAAUUUACUUUGCCAAUUGCUUGCCAAGUGAUGUCUUUAGCUUCCGCGGCUUUAAUCUUGUCCUCUUUUUGCUGAUCGCGUGUUAACGGCCUAGCCAAGCCCACGUUCUUUCGAUGCUAGACUUCAGCCUACCAUCAAUUUUUCCUUCCAUAGAUUGUGCGCAUGAAGGAAUCGAACCAAAUGAAAAGAAGGCAAACGGUGAUAGAAAACGAGGAAAAGAGGAAACGGAGAAGAGAGAGACAAAGCUUGAGCGCGCAUCUCACGGGAGAAUUGGAGCUCAGGCGCUAAUGAAAAAAAAAAAAAAACAGCAGACAGGUAUACGGCGGGGUCGAGUCUUCCAAUUUUGGUGGAUUCCUUCAUCAUCGGAGCUUAUUUUGUUUACUAAUUUCGCUUAGACAUAUGGGGUUACCAACUCGAAGCAACUAAGCAACCCUCUCUUCGGUGACCCAACAGAGAACCCAAAGGUCUGCCUAAGGACUGAAUACUACCACUUGCUCAAAAAAAAAAAAAAGGACUGAAUACUGCCAUGGUCCAGAGUUCGGCUCUCAGCCCAACUUACUGUUUCUUUUGGGCCAUAUCUUAUCCUAACCAAUUGGACAGAAAUGGACGGGCAGUUGUGGAAGAGCGUCAGCAAUUAAUGGAUCAGGGAUGCACACGUUAAUGAUAUGAAAUUGAAACGCCCGUCUUCUCAGUUUAUGGAGCUCCAAAGGUGUUUGAUCGGGGCAAACGGAUGAGCUCCAAAGGUCUUCUUAAAUGAAAGGGGACUAGAAGUAUACAAAACAUAUCAUAACUAUAAUUUAAGUGAUUUAGAACGAUACUUAAUAGUUUUAAUGGAUGAAACACCAAAUAAUUUUAUCGAUGGAGGUAAUGAAUCUCAUUCCAUUUUGGGUAUCUUCACAUAAUAAAAUUACCCUCCAACUUUACAGAAUCCUGCAAUUUUUAUUCAGUUAUAGAAAUUAAUUAAAGUGGCCCAAUUGCAUCAUGGUGAGAGGAUCCAAUUCAAAGACAUGUAGUCAAUAGCUCAUUAUGUAGUGAAAAGAGUGAAAUCUGGAGUCCCACAUAAAAAAAACUAAUAAAAAUUGCCAAAAUCAUCCACAUCUGCACCAGCCUUUCUAACUAGUAAUGCCACAUAAAAUUGUCGAUAUUCAUGUCAGUAAUUACUAGUUAAAAUUAACUGGAAUGACUAUAUUGACAAAACAUCGAAAAAUUUAAGAUUAAAUUGGUCAAAUUGAAAAGUUUAGGGCCGAAUUAACCACCGUAUAAUCGGUCCAUGACUUUUUAAAUAAUUAUCCAUAAUUCUUUCUAUUGAAUGAUAAUGCUUCAUUUUGACAGAGUGAAGUACCACUUACUUUUGAACAGCCAAAAAAUGGAUAUGCUUAUAUAUACAAAUGUCAUUACGCUAUACCUAUAAAUGACUAAAAAAAAUGCAAAUAUCUUCACAUACAUUAGAUGUAACACCAAAUGAACUUGAAAUUGCAUAUCUAACUAAAGAGACAUAUUUUCCUCUAUUCUUGCUAAAGCCAAUCUCAAAGUAGAGGAUUAGACAACCCCCUUGCAUAUUUAACUAAAAAUGAAAUGUGUGCCAUGUCAAACUAUGAUUGGAUGCUCUAACUAUGGUAGCUAAAGAUUUUCUAUGAUGUUAAUUGUUCAUAGGUUAAGAAACAACAGAAUAUGUAACUGGCUUGUAAUACCAAUUCUCACCAAUAAAGAGAAAAACUCAGAAUAAGUCGUUAGAGUAGAGAAUAAAAGUGAAAAUCAUUUUUUUACCUGACGAGGAGAUAUGCGUAGAGGAAAUAAUUCUUUACGCAUGAGAUGAAUUUGGUAGGAUGUUAAUUUCUUUCAUCUUGAUACAUACAAAAUGUAAUAUCAUAUAGUAUGAAUUUCGAUGAGUAAAUAUCGAGAAUAUAAAGAUUGGUGUACAAAAUUGAUUUACAUGAUGAAAUAAUAGAUCCCAAUGAGUAUCUAAAUUAAGGAGGACGUAUACAUUCAAGCAUCCAAUAAUAGUUUUGACAUAUACACUGAUAAAUAUCGGUCUUUACCAACCUUGGUAUCAUCAAUUUUUAUUUUUAUUUUUAAAAAAGCCGUAUGAAAGCAUCAAAUAAUGCUGGGAGUAUUUAUUUAUUUGCUAUAUAUAUAUAUAUAUAUAUAUAUAUAUCCCUCUUCACGGGGAAAAUUGGCAGAUUAAUGUUUAUAUUAUUGAAAGACUUGGCCUUGUGUGCUUGGCGACUUCUCAUGUAUAUCAUUGACUUCAUUUUAAAACACCAGUUCAGAUUUAGUGUUGUAUCCAAUAUUGGAUCGAUAUUAUGAAAUUUCAUCCACGCUACCCCGGAUACGAGCCAACCAAUGAAUAUUUCAAUAAGUUUGCUUCGCUUAGUCGAAAAUAGAGUUAAGUGGGAUACCUUUUAACUAUUAUUAAAGGAUUAACAGGAACCUUCGAAUGUACUGUUCAAAGUUGACAUGAUACGGAUGCUACUUGUAUAGAAAUUAUAAUUUGCAUUUCACAAGAUGACAAAACAUAUUUUUGGGGAGAAGUACACUAUCAGUGCCAUAAGUUGUGUGCGGCACUCACUUUGGUGCCAAAAGUUUCUAUUGAAUCACUUAAAUGCCAAAAAAGUUUGAAAAACGAUCAUUUUAGUGCCAACUCUGAUCAGAUUGAUCGGAAAUCCGACAUGACACUUUUUUAUUAAUGUUUUUAUGCUAAUGUGGCUCGCCGGAGAGUACAGUCAGCAUGUAAACCACAAAAUGAUCUCGUUUUGCGUCUUUCUCCCAAGUCAAAACCCUAAAUCCUCAAAUCAAGAGAGAGAGAGAGAGAGAGAGAGAGAGAGAGAGAUGGCAUGGUCGUGUUGUCUUCUUCCCCAAAGAACAACCUCAGCACUAGCCACUCUCUGAGCAGAGCCCAAUCCACCAUCUCCAUCUGUGCCCUCAUUGUUUCCCUCGCACUCCUCAUCUUCUCUCUCUCUCCGCACCUUCGACCCCCCUUCUUCCUCCUCCUCCUCCGCCCUCGCCUCCUAUUUUCCCAUCGGUUCUUGCCCCAGAAACAACCUCAGUCUCUCCUUGCUCACCUAGUCGAGCAACUAUGACGGAGGCCGAGCACGGUGGCCAAGCGACGGUGGCUGAGCACGGUGGCCAAGCAAGCUUGGUCGGCGAGGAUUGAACCAAAAAAAAAAAAAAUCCUAAUUUCAAUCCCAAAUGAGUUGUGUGGCGUCAUUUUUGUGAGGCCAUCCACAUAUGAUGGUAAAACGACAUCGUUUUCUUAAGGAAGAUGGAAAAUGACGUCAUUUAAAAGGCUUGUCAAUUUUUUUUUUUAAAAUAUAAAAGUCACGUAAUCAUUUUGGCAGGAAUCUCUCGUUGGUGACACCAAAAUGAUCGUUUUUCCUCCGAUUUGGCACUUAAGUGAUCCGAUAGAAACUUUUGGCACUAAAGUGAGCGUCGUACACAACUUAUGGCACUGAUAGUGUACUUCUCCCCAUAUUUUUAUGUAUGAUAAGUUACUUUAUCCUUGUUGAAGAUGGCGUUCACUUGGUAUACUAGUAUACUAGUCUUCUCGUGAAUUUGAUACAGAAUGCAAAAUGCACCUAGAGAGAAUCCUCGAUACUUUGGGCGUUCAUCACAGUUUUUGGGCUAACAUUAUAAGAGUUAUUUUGCAUAUGAUGUUUCGGGCAUUGGGUAAUGGCCGUGGAGGGUUUGUCAUGAACAUAAAUUUGGCAUUAGCCACUAGAGAUGAAGUUGAAAUAGAAGACAUCGAGGAAGCCUCAAUUGGAGGAUACAAGUCAUAUCCCAACCAAGUCACGCGGAGCGUCUCCAGAGGCACCAUUGAAAAGCUCGAGCAGAAGAGCUACUCUGUUGGGGAAGCUGACGAAUGCUAUUCUAUUUGUUUAGAGGUAUUGGAUGAGAAAUAUAAAGUGAUGGAGAUACCAUGUUCGCACCUAUGGCACAAUAGGUGCGUCGUCAAGUGGCUCGAGAGGAAUAAUUCGGGUCCACUAUGUCGUGGCAAAGUACAAGCACAAGAUUUAGAGUAGUCAGUUUUAGUUUGUAAGAUUUUCUAAUAAGAAAAUAAUUCUCUUUUUUUUUUCUCCAAUGGAUUAACUAAUCUACUGCAAUGACUUUGGGUACUCAAUGCAGUGCCCGUUGCUACAGUUCCGAAUAUCACCCCUGUUAAAAAACCAAGGUCACCUGUGAUGUCACAGUAGAGACUAUAUAUAGUUUAUGUUUCUUCUAUGGCCAGAACCUGGCAGAGAUAGUAACCUGCAUUUGGAAAGAGAGCAAAACGAAAAGAAAAUUGUCCCAAUCAAUAUUUACAUGAGAACACUCACAAAAGAAUGUUCACAUAAGAGUACGAAACGAGCGGGGAGCAGGGAGCGGGGAGCAGGGAGCGAGGAGCGGGGAGAGGGAGGGAGAGAGGGGGAGGGAGAGAGAGAUUCUUACGCAAACCGACAUACAGAAUAUGUACAACUUUAUUAGCUCGGUUUUGCCAGUUAUCCUAGGCAACAAUGACCCAUUCAUAAGAAAAUGGGCAAAGACGACUAACAGUGUAUUAUGCGCACAUUUGAUAAUCUCAUAUAUAAGCUAUCGUGUAUAUUAGAAAUAAAUUAAUAAGAUUGUUGCAGAUAUUUCUCAAAAAUUUAUUUAUUUUUUUAUAGGUGAAAGAGAAUAUUACUGAAGCACACCAAGGGAGUGGAAACCCAUAUGCAAAAAGAGCUCAGUUACUGGACAAAUUAUGUACAAUGUUAAAGCAUUUCCAUCCGCACGACUUUCUAGGACACCAGAAGCAUAAGAUUUUUAACCAACUUUCAAUAAUUAUAGAAAAUGGCGAUUCUGUUAAAGUUCAUAAAAUAACAAUCAAAACAGAAAAAUCUCUGUUGUUUGAUGGAGAGAAAGGAUAAAAAAAAAAAAAAAAAACAGAGCAUAGCACUUCAUACAUCUUGUGCAAAAGAAAAAACUGUCGAGUACCACAACUAAAUACAAAGCAGAAACUGCUCACAUACGUGCAACACAUAACUGCACACAAACGUGCUAUUAACUUCCUAGAAAAUAGCAAAAACACUAACUGCAUAACUAAAUGAACUUGACUGUUUUUUUUUUUAAACAGAGGAAAACAGAGGAAAAGCACGACUGAAAAUAGCAGCACUGAGACAAUUCCAACAAACUCCUCCUUAGAUCAGUUGCUGCUGCAAAUUCCUAUUUUCUCUCUUAACAGCUCAAAUCUUCUAGCUUGAACUGGUUUUGUGAACAUAUCUGCAAGCUGAUCUUCAGAUUUGCAAUAGACCAACUUAACUUCGCCACUUUGUUGCACCUCACGCAAAAAGAAAAAAAUUGACUUUGAAAUGCUUGGUUUUGCCAUGGAAAACUGGAUUAUGAGAUAUUGCUAAAGCAACUUGAUUAUCCACAUUAACUUCAAUGCAAUCACUAGAAUUCAACCACAAAUCAUUCAUGAUCUUUUUUAGCCACAAAGCUUGAUUUGCAGCUACAGUAGCUGCUAUAAACUCAACUUCUGCUGUGGACUGAACUACAAUCUCUUGCUUUUUGGAACACCAGGAGAAACAAGCAGAACCAAGACUGAAACAAUACCCAUACAUACUUUUAAUGUCAUCUACUGAACCAGCCCAAUCACUAUCAGAAAAUCCUUAUAAAUUAAACUUCUGACCUUUCUUAAACUUCACACCAAAGAACAAUGUUCCUUUGAGAUAUCUCAAGACCCUUUUUGCUGCAACCAAAUGUAACUGACUAGGACUACUCAUAAACCUGGAUAAAACACUCACAGCAAAUAGAAUAUCUGGUUUGGUUACUAUAAGAUACAUGAGACACCCAAUGAGACUUCUAUACAUAGAAGCAUCUACUGCAUCUGUUCCAUCAUUCUUGUGCAGCUUCUCUUUAACAGCCAUAUAUGAGUGCUUACACUUCGACAAUCUUCCAUCUAAAACUUCUUUAGAAUUUCCUUCGUGUAUUUUUCUGACAGAUGAAGAUCUCAUAUGAAACUUGUUUGACUUCUAGACCCAAAAAAUAAGUCAUCUUUCCCAAGUUUGACAUCUCAAAAACUGCAAAUGGAUCUUGCUUCACCUUCUUUAUCAAUUCAAUAUCAUUCCUUGUCACUAAUAGAUCAUCUACAUAAAGUGACAAAAUUACAACACUGUGAUUCACCUUCUUGACAUAAAGAGUGAACUCACUUAAGCUUUUUACAAAGCCAAAAUCCUACAAAUAUCGAUCUAUCUUCUCAUACCAAGCCCUUGGAGCCUGCUUCAGUCCAUAUAGAGCUUUCCUCAACCUGUAUACGUUCUCUUCUUGCCCUUUGAUACUGAAGCCUUCAGGUUGUUCAACAAAAAUCUCCUCCUCAAGCUCUCCAUUCAAGAAUGCAGACUUGACAUCUAACUGAAAUAUAGGCCACCCCUUCUCUGUUGCAAUAGCUAACAGUAGCCUUAUUAUAUCAAGUCGUGCAACGGGAGCAAAUGUUUCAGAAUAGCCUACUCUCCAUAUUUGUGCAUAGCCUUUCACCACCAGUCUAGCUUUGUGUUUAUUGAUAGAACCAUCAGGAUUAAGUUUUGUUCUAAACACCCACUUAACCCUAAUCACAUUCUUAUCAGCUAGUCUAUCAACAAGCUCCCAUGUGUGGUUUUUCUGGAUCAUUGCAAUCUCCUCCUGCAUUGCUGCAAUCCACAUCUGAUCCUCCUUAACUUCCACAAAGUUAGAUGGUUUGAGCAUUGCCACAUUGCUUCUUUCAUAGAUUUCAGCAAGUGACCUUGUGCCUCUCACUAGUAAAUCAUCCAUAUUGUCUUCCAAUCCAUCUAUAACUUCAUCAACCUCUACAUCUGCUGCAAGUUGUUUUUCGAACUGCUACUAUUUUGCACUCUUUCCUUCCAUCCAAUUCCACUCAUCUUCCUCUAGAAAAAUAACAUCUCUGCUCACAGUCACCUUCCUUGUCAUGGGAUGGAAAAUCCUGUGAUUGAAGACUAUACCCAGCUUGUUCCUCUUGACCUCAGGAACAUGAGUGUAACACAAACACCCAAAAACCUUCAAAUUCUUCACAGAAGGUCUAACACCAUGCUAGACUUCAAAAUGUGUUGACUUCUCUAGGGCCUUUGUGGGCAAUCUAUUAGAAAUACUGCAGUAUUAGCUUCUUCAGCCCAGAACUUCUUAGGUAACUUCUUCUCUUGCAUCAUACAUCUAGCCAUCUCCAUAAUGCUUAUGUUUUUCCUCUCAUUGACCCCAUUCUGUUGAGGUGAAUAGGGAGCAGUGAACUGCUGCACAAUUCCUGCUUGCUCACAAUUCAACUUAAACUUGUGAGCAGUAUACUUAGAACCAUUAUUAGACUUGAGCAUUUUGAUUUUCUUUCCACUCUGAUUCUCAACUAAGGUUUUAAACUUCACAAAUACAUCAGCAACUUCAGACUUGGCUUGCAGAAAAUAAAUCCAACUCAUCCUAGUCAUAUCAUCAGUGAAAGUAAUAAAAUACUUGCUACCAUUGAGAGAAGACUUAGACAUAGGUCUACAUAGAUCUGUGUGGACUAAUUACAACUUCUCACAUGCUCUCCAGUCUCCUCAUUUGAAAGGAAAUUUGGCUUGCUUGCCAAGAAGACAAGUUCUGCACUGUGGAAAUUCCUCCUCCAAACUUAGCAAGUCAUCCGCUAAGCUAUUUCUUUGCAUAAAUGACAUGCUCUUCCUGUGAACAUGCCCAAGUCUUUUAUGCCAUAACUCUGCAUUUUCUUCUUUGCACUUUAAAGCCAUUUGUUGCAUCUCUUGUGGCUUGAACAUGAAACUCUUGUCCUUCAUUGGGAUUCUUCGCACUUCUUUGCUAUCUGCAUUAUUAAUAAGACAUUCAUUCCCUUCGAACUUCACUUUAUAGCCCUUCUCAACUAAUUGACCAACACUUAACAGAUUUUGAUCAAUAUUUGGCACAAAAAGAACAUCACUGAUCAGCUUCACCUCCUGAUUUCCUUCAAUAGCCACUGUACCCUUCCCUUGCACUUCGAUAUACUGUCUGUUGCCAAUUCUGACUCUGGACCUGACUGACCUAUCUAGACUCCUAAAUAGCUUCGAAUUGCCAGUCAUAUGAUUGGUACAACCACUAUCCACCAGCCAUGCAUAAUUCCCAAUAGAAGAUCCAAGAAAUGAAGCUACAAACAAGUGCUCUUUCUCAGUUUCAUUCACUGCUACCUGUGCUUCUCUUGCUUGCUGGUAAUUUUUCUCUUUGCAGAUUGCUUCCAUGUGACCCAACUUGUGACAUCUUCUGCAUCAAGCAUCAGGCUUUCUCCAACAUCUAAAAAACUGAUGAUUAGUUCCACCACCGUUUGACAAGGCUUUUUGUUCUUCUUUCAUUUGCUAGACCCACCAGAAUUUCCUUCUUUUGCUACAAACUUGGAGUCAUUAGCAUUUUCUUUGGACUGAAUCCAUUUCUUCCCUUUGCCUUCAUCAUUUGACUUCACUCUAGCUUGCAGCACACACUCUAUAAACUCCUCUUCUCAUCAGUCUUCUGUGCUCCUGUGCCUGCAGAACAUUUAACAAUUCUGCAAGCUUUAUAUCAGCUAAGUCUCUUGUAUUUUCCAAAGAAGCUAUGGUGGCUUCGAACUUCUCUGGAAGAGACACCAGGAUCUCCUGAACAAGUCUUUCAUCCUUCAAGUCAGUCCCUAAAACUCUAAUUUUUUCAACUAUCUCAACCAGCCUAUCAGAGUACUCCUUCACUGACUUUGAAUCCUUCAUCUGCUGUCUCUCAAACUCCCUCAAGAGAUUCAACACCUUCAUGCUCCUUAUCUUCUCAUCUCCCUCGUAUUCAUCCUUCAAGAAAUCCCAUAUUUCCUUUGCAGAAUCACAUCUCAUGAUCCUUGUGAAAAUAGGGGGUGAGAUAGCACCAUACAUGCAAGACUUUGCCUUGGCCUUCCUUGUGAUUAUCUCUUUAUGGUACUUUAUCUCAUUCAAGGUCGGAUUGUCUAGAAGUGGAGCAACCUCAUAAUCAUUCUCCACAGCCUCCCAUAAAUCAUGACCCUCCAAGAAUGCCGUCAUCUUGACAGCCUAAGCCUGAUAAUUUUCCCCAGUAAAGACUAGAGCAGCCAUUGCAAAGAAUCCACUCGGUCCUGCCUCCAUCAGCUUUUUCUUUGCAGAUUGGAAUCAAUCUUCACUCACUUACUCUCACUUCACAGUCCCUUAAGAUCCCACAAACGCUCUGAUACCAAUGUUAAAGCUCAUAAAACAACAAUCAAAAUAGAAAAAUCUCUGUUGUUUGAGGGAGAGAAAGGAUAUAAAAAAAAAAAAAAAAAUAGAGCAUAGCACUUCAUACAAAAAACUGUUGAGUACAACAAUUAAAUACAAAGCAGAAACUGCUCACAUAUGUGCAACACAUAACUAAUUGCAUAACUAAUUGCAAAAACACUAAUUGCAUAACUAAAUGAACUUGACUGUUUUUUUUUAGGAAAAACACGACCAAAAACGGCAGCACUGAGACAAUUCCAACAGUUUCCUCUCCAAUGAAAGCUCUCAUAGUCAGCUCUCGGAAACUUAACUUAAACAGAUGACUUCCAACCAACAGAAUAUAUACAAAGACAUGCACAACAUCUAUCGUUCCAUCAAUGUUGAACACUGACAUAAGUUCUGGUAAUAAUAUAGGUACCUGUGCGGGUAGUCAUCCACCACACCACCAGUGAAUCCAGCACGCAUGGUAGAACUCAGAAUCAACUCUACUGGGCUAUGCUUUCUGGAUAAACUUGAAAAACUGCUCGUUUUGCUCCUUGCCAAGCAUCUAUAUGACGAGCCAAAAAAUGCCCUAAAAACACUUGAGACAAAUGUUGAUUAUUAGCCAGCCAAAUAGGGACUAGAAGUUGAGCAAGAUAGAAAAGAAAAAGAAGAAGAAAUUUUUCGAUUAUUUCGGACAAUCAUCCAGUUAUCAUCCAAUGCUAAGGGAGAAGCUUCAAUCUUAACCACGGCUCCUGAGAGGACUUAUCCACGUUGCAUAACCAAUGCAUGAAAAACAGAUAUAGAAUCAACAAACUACAUAAAAGAAACCAAAAAAGAUUCCAAGUUACCUAGUGUAGAAACUCAGAGAAUUUCCAGAGAGUGUAGCAAGAUUAUGAAAUAAGAAUGAUAACAUGCAAAAUUAAUGACGAAAGAUAAUUAGAAUGUACGAAGACGAUGCAGCAAUGACACAAGGUGUAUCACCAGGCUAUGGUCCAACAGUCCUUCAAACCCAACUAUGCCCAAGUUCUAAACAUUUCAUGUGCACAAUUUACCCCUUGAGUAUCCACUUAAUAACAAGUCAUUCUUACGGAUCGUUCUUUUGGUGUCUAACUAGCAGAUAAAGGGGGAAAGACAGAGAGUUGAAUCUACCAAAGUUGAAGCACAACAGUAGCUACUUUCUGCAGUGAACUUUUCCUAUGGCUCAGUCUUUGAUUUGUUUGGCCCAAGCCAAGAGGUCAACCAUGCAUCCAUAGUGCUCACUAGUUGGAGCGGUGCCAUAACCUUUGCUCACAUGUCCGAACAAGCGCAAUGCUCCAUCGAUUAGACACCUCCGAUUGAAGGCCAUUGGACCUCCAACAAACGUCACAGCAUUUGGUUUAGGGCCCCUAUUUUCCAUCUCGUAGAAAAAAUGCAGCCCAGUUUCAUUCUCACCAUUAACAGCAAACCCCAAUAUCAUCGCACUCCAAGUUGUCAACAUCUUUCAGAGGCAUUUGGUCAAACACUUCUUUGUGCGAAUCCGACGAACCCACAUGUGACAAGAAAAUAAUCAAUGCAAUUCUUGGCCCAAGUUCGUAAACAAUGCCACUCUCAUCUAUGUACUUAUGGACCCAUUUUCCUUCUUUAGAGGCUUCCACAAUAGCACGGCACAAUAGCACGGUGCUAAAGUACGCUAGCCUAAAGAGAUCCACUUAAUUUAACCACUCGUUCCUAACGUAGCCAGAGAUCAAGGCACUGUAGGAAACAUCAUUUUUCCCUGGCACUGAAUCGAACAGCCCUCGAGCUUCCUACAUGAGGCCAAUGCUACAAUACCCAGUGAUAAGGCUCGUCCAGCAAACCACGUCCCGCAUUGAACUCUGAUCAAACGGGCGGCUAGCAACAGUCGCAGCCCAAUGCUUCCGGUACAUGCUUAUCAGAGAACCCACCACGUAUGCAUCACAAUCUGGCCCGAACUUCAUCGCCCGGCGGUGAAGUUGGCCAAGCUAAGGAAGAGCGAGCGCCAUGUCCCGACCAAUGCAGUGGAAGUGCGGGCAUAUGGCGGGCAUAGACAGAGACCAGCCUUCCCACGUUCGAAGUACCCCAAAGAAACCCAUCAUCCCGACUCCCAAGUCGAAGACAAUGGUGGUGGGCGAGUGGAAACACAAGAGAAAACGCGCGCCGCGUAGUUCAUGUGGCGGCGAACGGGAAGCGAGAGAGGCCGGAGAUGAUGGCGUGAGCAUGGAUUUGCUUCGGGUGGUCGGUCGAUGGUUGAGCAUCUUUGGAGAAGGGCGAGCGUGUGAUAUAUUUAUCACUAAUUGGUUGGAUAAUUUCAUCAUUUCACAAUGUGUAAUAAUAAAUAAAAUAUUUAUUCUAUAUAUGUCUUCUUAUUUUCUUAAUAGAGAAAUGAUAUAUUAUAACCGGUCCAUUUAACACCCCUAUCCUAUAAUGUCUUUAGACAUUUUGGCUGUGUUCACAGCCAAUUUAUUAUGGAAAUAGUGAGUUUCAAGAAAUUGAAACCUAAUAUGAUGGGAGAAUCAUUUUAUGCCAUUUAGAACACAGAAGGGAAUACAAAGUUAUCGUGAUUUAUUUCUUGAUCAGUCCGCCCACAAUCAACUUUGGUCACUAAAUAUAUCAUAUUUGAGUGUAAUAAUUAUUGAUCACACUUUGUAAGAGAAAACUGUAAUCCACGCGCAAUUGCAUGACAGAUCAAUCUACCAUAAUCAACUUUGCCCACUCAAAGUAUACCUUGAUAUAUACGAAUAUAAAUAUAAAUAGAGUAGAAAAUUUCCUAAAUAACCACAGUGGAGAGAAAUGAAACAAAAAAGAAAAAAAGUUGAAGACAUUACGACUGGGCUUCAAAAGAACCACUCACCAAGGAUUGAAUUUCUCGAGAGAAAUAGAGAGUCUAAUUGCGUAGAAUAAUAAAAUUGUAAACAUAAAAUAAAAUUUUUCCAUUGGUCAUCAAACAAAAGAAAUACUAAUUCAAUAUUAAGUCUCAUUAAAAGAUAUGUUUGACCUAGGAAUUCUAUAUGCUCUUUUAAGUUAAAUGGCUUUCAAAGGGUGAUUCUUGCACUUGUGAGUCCUUUUUAUAACGAUAUAAACAUGCAUUGAUCAUGAUAUAAACAUGUAUUGAUAUCGUCAAUCCAAUAAAACGGCUGCUCUUUAAUAGACUUUACAUCUUAAACCAUGUUGAAACCAACGUUUUUCCUUCUCUUUGUUGCUUCUCCAAAAAGGCAUGUGUCCCUUUAAAGAGGAAGCAACUAAUUGUACUCAACAAUUUCUAGAUGCAUAAUUGUAAAGGAGAAAUUGGUUUAUGUCAAUAAAUCUUUCAAAUUCAAAUCUCCAUCUAAAAUAUAGAACCAUCAGGGAAAGAAAAAUAAUCAAUCAGGUUUGAGUGAUUUAGUCUGCACCUAGAACCGAACCGAUUAUCAAUGAUUCCAAAUUUUAGGAACUAGGAAUUGGACUAGUGCUCACCCCUAGAUAGUAUGUUUGAAUGUUAAGAAUUUGUGCAACGAACUGAGAUAUUUGGUUUUACGUACCAGGGAAAAUGAUUUUCCUAAAUAAAUCAAUUGAAAACUUUACCUGUGGUACCAUCGGUCGUGGUGGCUCCGCUGGAUAAGGGCUCCAUCGAUCCUUCCCCAAAGGUGAGGGGUUUGAAACCUAGUGGAGGCGCUUGGUGUCUUAAGUGUGUUGUCAAGGUAGUGGGUUCUCUGCUAGCGUCACCCCGGGUUUACCUUGUCACGCCCCGAUCCUCGAGCACGCACACAUCCUUCUACUUGAUCAAUUUUAGAAUGCAAUAUCCCAGGACUAUGUAUCGCCGACCCUUUCAUUUAUUAAGCACAUGUGGAAGCAGUUAUAAAUCCCCAAAUAAUAAAAUAAUGGGAUAGAAAAACAUGUCAUAUUUUUCAUAUUGAAGUCUACAACCAAAACUUUAUACAUGGCAUUAGAUAGAGUACUUCACAAACUAUUCACAAACUUCAAAGUCUCACUCUAUCUACACAUAUACAUAGGGUUCAUAAAAGAGAUGAGAUUUCAAUUCUCAUCUGGGUCAUAUUCAGGAUCAUCCUGAUCCUCUUUUGACUCAUCUUCACUAAGCUCAUUUCCUUCGUGCUCUUCAUCUUUUCCUGGCUCAUCAUCAUCUUCUAGCUCCUCCUCCUCCUCCUCAAGCUCAUGUACGGGCUUGAAAUGUCGUCCCACAACCGGGAUGGGACUACGUCUUAGCAAGUUCUACCCCCACCAAGGCCUGAUUAGUAAACCAUUAUAUUAUAGGCUGCCUAAACACGCACAGGUCAGAGAACUUACCUUGGUCUCAGAUUCCACCUGUCAUAAUAGGCACCCACUUACUUAAACAAAUCGAACCAAUUGAUUACAUGUCACUCGAUUCAAUCCCCACGGUGGAAUAUCUAGAAGUUAGGCCACGUGCAUUCUCCAAGACGACAUACCAAGUCUCCAAGCCACGUGCCUUAAACCUUGGGCCCACGUGCAUUCUAUAAGGCGACCUCUUCACCAAAGUGGUACAUCAAGUCACCGAGCCACGUGCCCUUUUAGAUGCCAUUCUCGAAUACUGGACCCAUGUGCAUUCUCUAAGGUACUAGUUCACCAAAGUGACGCAUCAGAUCACUGAGCCACGUGUCCUUUUAGAUGCCACUUUGGAACGUCGGGCCCACGUGCAUUCUCUAAUACACUAGUUCGCCAAAGUGACGCAUCAGAUCACCGAGCCACGUGCCAUUUUAGAUGCCAUAUUCUGUCACCGAGCCAUGUGCAUUCUCCAGAAGGACAUACCGAGUCUCCGAGCCACGUGUAUUCUCUAAGGCGACAUCUUCGCCAAGAUGACAUAUUCAACCACCGAACUCACGUGCAUUCUCCAGGUGAUAUUCCAAUUCACCGAGCCCACGUAUUUUCUUUCAAGUGAUAACCAACUUACUUUCGAUACCGACAAUCAAUACUCAACGAUUUCUCAAUCAAAUAAUUAACAAUCAACUCAAUAAUCACAUAUCCCAAAAUUCACAAUUUAAAUCAAUUACAUACAAAUUGAAGCUCAAUUAAAUAAACGGACUACACCAUGACGAUUAGCGUGAAAUUCCGGUCACCGGCCAUCCCAGUUGAAUUUCCGGAAAAAUAAAUAAAUAAUUAAUUAAUUUCGAAAAUUAAUAAUUAAUUACUAAAAAUCCAAUUUAGGCCUGUAAUGUCUAAUUGAAGCCCACUAAGGGUUGGGAAAAAUCCUGAGAUACAUUCAAUAAAUAGUAGACUAUGUCUACUUGCUAAUUACACAAUCAAAAUGUCUAAUAUGCAUUACGAUUGUCUAAUAAUCACUAAUCUACUCUAAUCUAACCACCUAAUUACACUUAAAUAAAUCUAAUCAAUCCCUAAGCAAAAUUAGCAAACUAAGCAGGGAUUAGUGAGAUUACUCACUUGUGAAAAGUGAAGAUCGGAACACCGCGACAGUGACGCGACGGUGGUUGAAUUUGGGCUCGCGACGACACCACGAGCUUGGACCGGGCCUAAAAGGCCUUACAAGCUCACGACAAAUUGAUGGGCUUGAUCUCGAGCUUGGGUUGCAGCUGGGUUGGGCUUGCUUUGCGGGCCCAAGAUGGGCUGAAAUGCUGAAUUAAUGGGCUGGCUUCUUGGGCUGCAACUUAAAUGGACAAAGCUGACACGGGCUUCAAAGCUGGACUGCUGGGCUUUGAAAUUUCGCUGGGCCUCAUGGGCUGAACAAGAAAGCCCAAAGGAGCUGCUGCUUCGGUGGAUUACGUGGGCUGUUGCAGGGCGAAAUCGAGGGAACUGGCAACGAAAAAGAGAACGGCGUCGAGGUGGGCUGCUUCGCUCGUUGAUUCGGCAGUGGUUGAAGAAGCAGUAGAUUCGGUGGAGAGGUUGACCGAAUGAAGAUGCAGCGCUGAACGGUAGCUUCGGCGGCAGAGGAGAACCGAUCGCUGCUGGGGGAGUCAACCUCGUGAGCAAGACACGGCGGCAGCUGCAGCGUGAGACGGCAGAGGGAGAAAACGAAGAUGGAGCAGCUUCGGACGGAUGCUGCUUCAAACGGAUGUUGCUUCGAUGGGGUUUUGCAGGCGUGGAGUGGAGGCGCGGCCUUGUGGCGUGGGGCAGCACUUCGGAGGAAACUCCAAAUGAAAGGAACAAAACCAGAAGAAGUGGGGGCAGCUCGCAUGGGUGAAGGUGUAGUGAAGAGAGAGAGAGAGAUCGGUGGGUCGCUGGUCCUUUUUCCGAACUGAAGAAAACAAAAAGCAGAAAAGAAACAAAUAAAAGAGGGAAGGGAUAAGGGAAGAAGGGAGUGUCAGCAGGUGGUGGGCCAAGGAGGAAAUGUGCGAAAUGGAUAGAGAGAGAGAGAGAGAGCCGUGAAAGGGGAUAAGAAGAGACCGGUCAAAGAAGAAAGGAAAAUUGAAGACCAAGCAGAGAGUUGUCGGGUGAGGGAAAGCACGUGCGAGGGAGAGUGAGAGAGAGGGGAAGACCGAAGGAAAUGGGGAAAAAUUAACAGGAUUUCAAUAUUAAUCCAAUCUUGGUCCCGCGACUUCCAUUCAAUCUAAUUUGAUCCCCAAAAAUUCCCAAGAUGAAAUACGUGAUCCUCACUUGCUUUCUUGCACCAUAAUUCCCUCAAAUAACAAGUCUUUGACAACAAAAACGGUAAUUUUCCCUCAAUUCCGAAUUCUACUUUAUUUUUCUCGGCAUUUGAUUUUCUGAACAAACAAAUCUGGUUGAGGUCUAAUUCAAACGCAGAAAAAGCCCAAACAACAUCUAUUUACCGAUUCAUUUACACCAGAUGCCAAAAGUCUCUUCAAAUUGGCUAAUCCGUAUUUCCAUGCAUUUUUCGAAUCAUCCAUCUCGAUUUUCCGAAAAAUCCCGAAUUCUCUAGAAUUUCCUCAAAAGGUGAGUCGACGUUCUUAGAAUGACUCAUGACAUGAUAGGACUUCCAAUUUCUGAAAUUGAAUUCAAAUUCGUUGUUAUUUUCAAUCAAACGUGCUUUUGGUGUGACCUUGCCUAUUGGGUAGCUUUUAGGAAUUUUUGGUGCAAUUGACCCAUGGUCGAUUUUCUUCGAACCACAAUAAACCCAUUCGACACAUUGGCGACUCUCGGUGGUCGUGAAAAUCUCGAGAUUUCAAAUACGGAUACAGGGUACCAAAACAACAAUAAAAUCAAACUAGUGCCGAUCGAUGAGAAUUUUCCAAUUUAGUGAAGUCACCCACGAUCGGCCACACAUCUCGGUCGAACCGACCUAUCUCUGAUCUUAAUUCGAUUUUUAACUGUGCCGUAAUGACCUCUAAAGAUGAGCACGGUCGAGAAACCGAUUCCUGGUUAAACUUUCAAGUCUAUUGCAUUUAAAAUCCCUUAAUGGCUUCACCAAAUAGGCCAGUUAUCUCCUGAGUAGCCAUUUCAGAGAAAAACACUAUAGUCACGUUGAUGAAAAGCCUGACUUAUUCGAUUGAAAUCAGACCCUGAAAAUCAAGAUGUCACUUACCUCGCCGACUGCCAGCUGUACAGGGGUUCCCGGGUCAUCAAAAAAAAAAAAAACUUUACCUAUGGUUAUGGAAAUUUCUAGGAAGAGUUUAACUAAGCGAUGCAAAUAUUUUUUAAUGGAAGAAGUACACUUUAAGUGCCAAAACUUGGCACGGAGGGACACUUAAGUGUUAAAAGUUAGGAAAAUAACACUCAAGUGCCAAAAUUGGAGCAAAAUGGAUCACUUAAGUAUCAAUUCGGCCAAAAUGCCGAUGUGGCAAUUUUCUGGCGAAAUAAGUGCAAAAUGGUGAUGUUUUUUCAUGCUAAUGUGGCUAGAUAAUGUAAAAACGACGUCGUUUUAUCUCUAACGUGAUAAAAAAUUAAUAUAAAAAUUAAUUAAAUUAAAUUUAAAACUACAUUUAUUUAAAACAUUUAAAAAUAAAAAUAUAAAAAGGGGGGGGGGGGGGGGGAGGGAGGCAGCUGAGGGCUGAGCCCUCGCCGCUGCCGCCUCCCUGCUGAUGCCGGGGUCACUGGCCCCUGACCGACGUACAUCGCUGCAAUUACNNNNNNNNNNNNNNNNNNNNNNNNNNNNNNNNNNNNNNNNNNNNNNNNNNNNNNNNNNNNNNNNNNNNNNNNNNNNNNNNNNNNNNNNNNNNNNNNNNNNGCCGGUUGGCCGGGGGUUGGCGACCCUAGCCAACCCUCUCCCCUCUAUCGCCAGGCCUUCUUAGCGACGGCAGCGGCGAGGCCUCAGCUCUCAGUUGCCUCCCUCCCCUCCCCACCUUUUAUUUUUAUUUUUAUAUGUUUUAAAUAAAUUUAGUUUUAAAUUAAAUUUAAUUUUUUAUAUUAAAUUUUUACCACGUCAGAGAUAAAACGAGGUUGUUUUUGCAUUUUCUAGUCACAUCAGCGUGCAAAACGAUGUUGCUUUGCACUUAUCUCGUCGAAAAAUUGCAACGUUAGCAUUUUGGCCGGAUUGACACUUAAGUGAACUAUUUUGCUCCUAUUUUGGCAUUUAAAUGUCACUUUCAUAACUUUUGACACUUAAGUGUCCCUUUAUGCCAAGUUUUGGCACUCCAAGUAUCCCGCACUCAUUUUUUAACUGAACACUGGUCACGAAGGUCCAUAGGUGUAGAGAGCAAAGCUCAAGUCAUAUGUAUUCUUGUUUUCUUCAACUAGUUAAUUGAUAACCUUCUACCAUGUCUUUAUUCAUAUAAAAGAAAAUACUUUUAAUACCUUAGCUAAGAUUUCAAGCAAAGUUUAGAGUUCCGAGGCAUUGGCGUGUAUUAUAUGUAUCCUGUUUUUGUGCAAGAAUCUAGCAUUGCACAAAAAUAGAAUUCCAAGAAUACAACCCUUUCGAUGUCUUGCCGAAAUAAUUCAUGCUUAGCACAUCAACAAACACAAUAAAGUGACCCAAAUGCUGCAUCUUCUCGAUAUAUAUAUAUGUGUGUGUGUGUGUGUGUGUGUGUGUAAUUAUAUUGUCGAGCUUCUCAAUAGCGUUGACUUUUGUGCAUUCAUCACUACGUGGAAAGAAUAAAAGAAACUCUUGAGCUCUAGUCGAGCUCUCGUUUUUACUCGAAGCAGUCACAUGCCAGUAUUAAAAACAAGGCAAAGAUCAAAUUGCAGAGAGGACGAGCAGUUAGUAGUCUCUCUUCCACAAUGGUCCAAAGGAACUCUGCUGCUUCUCUGUGCGCCGUAUUGCCAGGGUACCCUUGGAUCUAUCACCACCUGAUCAACAGCUUCCAAUGAAUUCUCCACGGGUGGCUUAAGAGGCCAAAAAUUUCCAUUCCUAGGGAUUAAAGAUGCUGGCAAGUUCUCGUCAUGGCGCCAUCGCUAACCUCGGCUCUGUGUGCUUGCCUGUCAAUCUAUGCCUCAACCCACUUGACCUCAAACCCUCAAGUUUAAAGGAGUCUUACCCGGUAGGGGAGCAAGAGUUGGUCAUUUAGGUAUCAAGAACUCUCUGGGGACAGAAUCUAUGUCCACGUAACAAUUUUUGGCUUAGCAUCAGCACUCUGCGCAGCCUAGUCAUCAGACUGAAUCAAAGGUUAGCAUUUCCCAUUACCUAAUAAGAGUAAAAGACACUAAAACAAUCACAAUCUGUCCUCGUAAGUGACAAAUGAACAGGACACGGAGUUGGCCAUAAAGACAAAGGUAUGCAACAGGGCUGAUGAAACCAUACCUUAGAUGCUCCUAUAUACCGAGUAAACAUGGGCUUCGUGUGGUAAGAGACAGAACCACCUCAGUGGGAUUCCCGACCAUAUGUAAUAUCACAAAUUAAGGUCUAAGCAAUGGAUCUCUGUAACAUAUUUAAUCAUGUUACUUCACCAGUCUCACUAUCGAUUAGGCAUUCUUGGUAAUAGUAUUUGGAAGGGACAACAUGGAUUUGUUAAUGCAUCCUAUACUGAACAGACAACAACAUUGUUGCGCGAUCCAGCUUGCUGAAACAGAAACAGAAACAUCGAGCAGCACCAAGAGAAAGGGAAGGAAGAACUGCCACCUGAUUGGCCUACACUGCCUCAUCAAUGACUGCCAUUUCGAAACCAUGAGAAAGGCGAGAGAAUAAAUUUCUACCACUACUUGAUAGGGUAGUGAAGACAAUCUCAGCUUCAUAUGAGAUCCAUUUAUCAAAGAAGCAUAAACUUUUUCUUUAACUAUGUGAUGUGAUUUGCAUAUGGAUUGAUGGAUCUAAAUUGCCAAUCACGCAUUGAUGCUACGCUUAGUAUCAUAUGGGAAUAAAUUUACUCAUCUGAAUUCCCAUCGUUGAAUCAUACUACACUUUUCGACAUCCUCCAAAGAUACUACCCAGCAGAAUUCCACUUUGCUUUUAAUAACCCUUGACGACAGAAAUGCAAUGCAACUCAUGCAUACAUGUGAUUAGCAUUACAUUGAUCAGAUUUUUGUUCUUCAAAAACCCCAACUCUCCAUUCCAUUCCCACCACGACACGCAAGAGGGAAGCAACUCACGAGUGUUGAUUAGCACAAACUGUCAUCUUCCCAAUUGUGUGCGACACAACUUACUCCGGCGGGAGAGACCGAAGAGGGAUAGGUGAACUGUGCAGUGGACUGAGAGGGGGCGUAAAACCACCGCCGGAGAAAGCAGCAGCGGUGCCCUCGCCCUCGAAUUGGCUUCCGAAUGUGGCCAUCUUCUCUCUCUCUCUCUCUCUCUCUCUCUCUCUCUCUCUGUUUCACUUGAUCAAGAGGAAUUGUUCCCAUUGUUGGUUCAUUCGAUUCUCGGAAUUUUUUUUUUUUUACUGUUAUGGAGCUGUUUUUCCGUUUUUCCGUCUGUUUCUCGAUAUACUUCCAUAAGAUUCCACGAAAGAUUUCCUGGGUUUUCUCGUGCUUGGGUUUCCCGUGAAAUCUUGUUCAACCCACUCUUGGUAGCAACGGCAAGGAGAAAAUAGUCUAUUGCGGAUACAGUUUGAGGCUAAAGACAAGAAAUUCCGAUUAUUUUGGCCCACCGACCGCUGUCUUUAAUUUCUCGGUCAAGUGGCACCAUUUGCUAGUUUUUGUUGAUCAAAAAAAAUUUUGAGUUGUUUAAGUGGACACAUCCACUUCUAAUGCUCAAUUUUUUGGGCAAACAUCACAAAAAAUCUCAUACCAUUCGCACUGUGGCAUAUAUAUAUUACAAAAAAAUUAUAAACUUGCCCAUUGUGGCAGAAAUACUUCUUACUUUUUUUUCGUGUCACGAACAAAUCCAAUGUAUAUAUAAAUAUUUUCUAUUUCAGUUAUGUUUAGAGUAUAUUUGUCACAAUUGGCAAGUUUAGGAUUUCUACUAAUAAAAAAAAAAUUAAGGUAUUUGUGUCAUAGUUGGUAUAAUUUGAGUUUUUUUGAGGUAUUAAAUCCUUAUUUUUUAUUUAUUUAUACGCAAUGCUUUAUUUGCCUUUUUGAGCAUGGGUUUUUUUUUAUUCAAUCAUGUGAUUGAGAUGCGUUUGUUUUUAUUUAUUAAUAUAACUGAGAAAGAAAAUAUUUGAUCACGGAUGCUGAGAGAAAGUGUGCGUAUCCACUCUAGCAUUAUUAAUCCUCGUUAGUUGAUAAUAUAUCUAGCCUUAAUCAUGUAAUGAAAAUCGCGAAUAAAGUGUGGGGUAGUGAGAGUAUUUUGUGUUAUAUAUAGAGUGGUUAGGAUUUGGUUUUAUACACCUGAUCCAGUGCCUUAUCUGAUAGUGUAAAUGAAAGUUCCACGUUAAACGUGCAUUUGAACACAGCCAAAAAAUAAAAUUAAAAGAAAAAACACAGCCAAAAAAUAGAUGAUGAGUACACAUACAAGUAUCUUCACCCUGCAGCUAUAAACGAUUAAAGAAUUCGACAUAUGGGCCUGAGGUUUCAUGCUCUUGAUGUCGUCACUCUCGUGUGCUAAAUGUCCACCAAAUGGUUCAUUGACUUGAUACUACACACCUAACUAAAGCGGCAUAUCUUUCUCCAUCCCUAAUAGAGCCAGACCUCCAUUAGAGGAUUGCAAAUAAGGAUAGAACCCAUUUGUAAAUUUAACUAAGUCGAAAUUUUUGUGAUGUCAAAUUAUAAUUGGAUCCUCUAAUUAGGAAUAGAGGAAAUAACAUAGCCCUUAACUAAAUGAUAUUUAUUUUUUGACCAUAAAAAAAAGCUAGACAAUUUUUGUUCAUGUGCAUGUUCAAAGUUCAAAAGAAAAAGAAGAAGAUUUAAUUGGAUCAAUAUACCAACUUUCACUAAUAAAUAAAAAAUUCCGAAGAAGCCGUUCAGGUGGAGUCUAAAAGUGAUUUUUUUUUCCUACUAUGAGGACCAUCUCCAUUUAAUGUAUAAAUUUCAAGAGACACCCAACACCAUCUUCAUGUUCUUUAUUUAGACACCCAAUCAUUCACUCCAACCAGCCUCCUCCUCCACCUACACCACCACUACCACCACCAUCACCACAUGCCACUGCCGCUACCGCCACCAUGCAACCCUCUCAACCUCCUCCUCUCAUUGAAAAUUACUUGCGAGACAACGUCAAGUCGCCAGAAUGCGAAGACUUGCUCUCCUCUCUCCCUUCGGAAGAGGGCUGGGUCCAAACCUCUCUCCGCUCGUAUCGGGGCUUCUGGUUCCCCUCUUGGCUCUUGAACAGCGUCCUUGCUUGCCAAAACCAAUUCCAAGCUCACCCCUCUGACAUCCUCCUCGUCACCAGCCCAAAAUGUGGCACCAC